rnacentral:rRNA from 1 species
AAAAAGGAGCGCUAUCUGCAGUCGAGCGAACUGAUUAGAAGCUUGCUUCUAUGACGUUAGCGGCGGACGGGUGAGUAACACGUGGGCAACCUGCCUGUAAGACUGGGAUAACUUCGGGAAACCGAAGCUAAUACCGGAUAGGAUCUUCUCCUUCAUGGGAGAUGAUUGAAAGAUGGUUUCGGCUAUCACUUACAGAUGGGCCCGCGGUGCAUUAGCUAGUUGGUGAGGUAACGGCUCACCAAGGCAACGAUGCAUAGCCGACCUGAGAGGGUGAUCGGCCACACUGGGACUGAGACACGGCCCAGACUCCUACGGGAGGCAGCAGUAGGGAAUCUUCCGCAAUGGACGAAAGUCUGACGGAGCAACGCCGCGUGAGUGAUGAAGGCUUUCGGGUCGUAAAACUCUGUUGUUAGGGAAGAACAAGUACAAGAGUAACUGCUCGUACCUUGACGGUACCUAACCAGAAAGCCACGGCUAACUACGUGCCAGCAGCCGCGGUAAUACGUACGUGGCAAGCGUUAUCCGGAAUUAUUGGGGGUAAAGCGCGCGCACGCGGCUUCUUCUAUCCGAAGUGAAAGCCCACGGCGUCAACCGUGUAGGGUCUUUUAUAACUUGAGAAAUUGAAUGUCCCAUGACACAGCUAUAAUACCUACAUUCUUCGCUCAAUGCCAAUGAACUUUACUGUCUCCCCUUCUCAUUUGUUAUCGCUUCUUUUCCCUCCUUUAUUUAUUUGCAACUCGUCAACGGCUUCUUUUUAUAUAAUAGCAUACUACCCCUUUUUUAUUCACACGUUUGUCCAUCGUGUAGAUUAUUCGUCUUUGUUCUUUCAUUGUAGUCUCUCCUUAUCGUUU